GCUGCUAAUCAAAUAAAAGAUGUUAUCUUUCACAGCAAAAACAUUACAGGUUAGCAUAUAAAAACUACAUUGUUCCUCAGAUCUACCUGUUUUAAGAACAUGCAACACUGUCCAAACUCAGUUAUUGUUAUAUGAUGAAUUACAGGUCUUAUUUAAUAAAAAUAAUUAAAUAAUAUUUGGCUAUAUAAACUUAAUCUAAGAAGUUGAAACCUCAUAUCCCUG
rnacentral:lncRNA from 1 species